UUACAGCUUUCAAAGAAAAAAAAAAGCUGGGGCAAAUUUCAACCAGUAUUUCUAAAAUUCUCCUUCCUCCUUUACUCUUCAACUUAAAUUGUGUGUCAGACCACGUGACAUUAUCCCCGUAAGGCUCUGCUCACUUUUUUCAGUCUUUUUUUCCUCUCUGUGAUCACCAGGCAUAGUUUCUUUUGCUAGUCUAGUGUUCAGUGAUCUUUUCUUCUGCAGUUUCUAAUCUGCUGUUUAAUCCCCUCCAGUGACUUAUAAAAACAAGCUUUAAACUUUAGAAAGUUAGAUUUACAGAAAAGCUAGACAGUACAGAGUUCCCAUAUAUCCCACGCCCCAUUUCCCUAUUAUUAACACCCUGCAUUAGUGCAUAUGCCACAAGUAAUGAAUCAAUAUAUUGAUAGUUUAUUUUUAACCAAAGUCCCCAUUUUGUUCAGAUUUCCUUAGUUUUUACCUGAUAGGUCUUUCUAUUCCAGGACAAUCAUCUGAGACAUUCCAUUCCAUGCACGUCUCCUUACGUCAUUCUCGACAGUCUCAGACUUUCCUGGUUCCUGACGCCCCUGACAGCUCUGAGGACGGGGCUGCUUCUGUGUAGAAUGUUGCUCAACUUGGAUUCAUCUGAUGUUUUCCCCUCAUGAGGAGUUGGGGUUAUGUAAGUUUUUGGAGAGGAAGACCACAGAGGUGGCUUGCACUGCCCAUCACAGCACGGCAGGGCACACCCGUCAACGUGACUCAUCACUGCUGGUGGAGGCCUGUCUGUCAGGCGUCUCCACUGUACAGUCUCUCCCCCCACCCCCUCCUGUACUCCUCAGAAGGAAGUCUGUGUGCAGCCAACACUGAAGGGUGGGAAUUACGUGUCACCUCUUUGAAGGGAGUCAACAGAAAUAAUGUGGAAUUCUUCUGCAUGGGACACUUGUUCCAGAGAUAUUCUGUUCAAUUUCCUUCCUUUUUAUAUCUUCCAUUUCUGUCUUAACGUUUUCUCUCUACUUUGAGCAAACAGAGCAUCUUAGUAACACCUUUAAUGUCCUUGCUCGCCACUUCCAUCACGCCUGGAUCUGUUACCAUGACUCUUCCCUUCUUUGUUACAGGUCACAUUCUCAUGCCAAGUGGAUCAUCUAUUAGUUUUGACUAGAUCCUGGACACGAAGAAUUUUACUACAUUGUGUCUGAGUUUAGUUGUCUUCCUUUCAAGAGUACUGCACCCUCAGUUCUGCAGGAAAGGAUCAGCCUGAUCCUUUUUUUUUUUUUUGCGGUAUGCGGGCCUCUCACUGCUGUGGCCUCUCCCGUUGCGGAGCACAGGCUCCGGAUGUGCAGGCUCAGCGGCCAUGGCUCACGGGCCCAGCCACUCCACGGCACGUGGGAUCCUCCCAGACCGGGGCACGAACCCGCGUCCCCUGCAUCGGCAGGCGGACUCUCAACCACUGCGCCACCAGGGAAGCCCUGAUCCUUUUAAGGCUUGUUUUUAAGCUCGUUCACACUGCAUUUGGGUAGCCUUUUCUCUGGGGCUAAUCCAGCCCCACUUUCAAGGCGUGGCUGUUCUGAGGUCCGUGAAAGGCUCUGUAUGUUAGAGUGGCCUCUCCGCUCUGGCUGUGAGGAAUCAGAUGACUCGGCAGCUCUAGGUGAGCCUGGUGAUCGCUCACCACGCGGCUCCUCAGCGGCUGUUCUUUCCCUGGAAGUUCUGGGGCGGCUUCCCAGGCUCCCCACACGGAUGCGCAAAGCAGCACUCGACCAAGAUCCUCAGGGGCUCACGUGCAGCUCCUCCUCUCUGGUACCAGGCCUUGCAAAUUCUGGCUGUCUCAGUUUCUCCAAAGGCCGGGCUCUCAGAGUCUGAACACUGUUUCCAGAUAGAAAGCCUAGGCACCUGGAGGGCUCACCUGUCCUUCCUGUUUAACAAUCCUGAACACUGCUGGUGGGUUGAGUCCAUGUUGAAUGUGUCCUGCCAGCCUGACCUUAAGGAAGUCCUGGCUUACCCUUAGAUAUAACGGAAACCAGUGACGGGAAAUACGGCAGGACCAGGGAGAAGCUGUUGCCCAGCUGCUGGCUGGGUCGCAGCACAGGCCCCAUGACCAAAGCAUCCCCGCUCAUGUCCAGCCGCUGGCCCCAUGCUCGGGUCUCCAGGCCCAGCUGAACAUCUGCACACGGGUGACUGCUGACUCAGUAACUGCCGGUGCCCUCCCAGUGGGAGGAGACUGUGGGGCAGCUGCCAGCGCCUCCAAGAUCGGGAAACAUUCAGGGAGCCGGCCUCCCUCCUUCCACAGCCUGCAAAGCCAGCCCCUGCGAGCCCUGCAGAUCUCAAGGAAACCCUGCAGCCAAAGGUGCAGGCUCUGAGGUCUUCACCCGGCUCCCGUGAUAUCUGAUGGGAGCUGACCGCUCAUUCCAGGGUGGGUCCUAAGGACCCUGCUGACCACUCCCUGGUCCUUUAAUAAAGAAUUCUGAGCACACACAGCCCAGUGGAGCCAGGCAGGCUCAGACUCAGGUGUGCUGUGCCCAUCUACCCUCCCUCCAGCCCCUUCUGAGACCCCUGUGCCCCUCCUCACCCCCCCCGCCCACCCCAGGACUGUGGAGGGAGGAAAGAGACAGGAGGCCACACACAUAGCCUGCCGUUUAUAGAUCUCUGCCCGUCUCGUCCAUCCAUCCAUCCAUCUAUACAUUUACCUAUAUAUCUCUACGGAAGGGGAAGCGGGGGGACUCUAGUGUAAAAAUACAAACUACAGUUCUAUGAGCACCAAGUACUGGUUUAGUCCGAGUGUGGCUGGGGUCAAGCUAAGAAAGCAGGUAGGGGCUUCCCUGGUGGCGCAGUGGUUAAGAAUCCGCCUGCCAAUGCAGGGGACACAGAUUCGAGCCCUGGUCCGGGAAGAUCCCACAUGCCGCGGAGCAACUAAACCCGUGCACCACAACUACUGAGCCUGCGCUCUAGAGCCCGUGAGCCACAACUACUGAGCCCAUGUGCCUAGAGCCUAUGCUCCCUAACAAGAGAAGCCACGACAAUGAGAAGCCCGUGCACCGCAACAGAGUAGUCCCCGCUCGCCACAACUAGAGAAAGCCCGCACACAGCAACGAAGACCCAAGGCAGCCAAAAAUAAAUAAAUAUAUUUAUUAAAAAAAAAAAGAAAAGAAAAAGAAAGCAAGCAGGUGGGGUGGAGCUGGAGCCCGGACCCCACAGGUGGAGGCCUCGCGUUGCCCUCUACCCGGGAGACGCGGAGCAUGGCGAGGGCAGGCGUGAGCCAGAGCUGGACGCCUCUGGCUCCAGAGGUGAGCGAG